AACGAACGCUGGCGGCAGGCUUAACACAUGCAAGUCGAACGCCCCGCAAGGGGAGUGGCAGACGGGUGAGUAACACGUGGGAACAUGCCCAAAGGUACGGAAUAUUCUCGGGAAACUGGGAGCAAUACCGUAUGUGCCCGAAAGGGGAAAGAUUUAUCGCCUUUGGAUUGGCCCGCGUUGGAUUAGCUAGUUGGUGGGGUAAAAGCCUACCAAGGCGACGAUCCAUAGCUGGUCUGAGAGGACGACCAGCCACACUGGGACUGAGACACGGCCCAGACUCCUACGGGAGGCAGCAGUGGGGAACCUUGGACAAUGGGCGCAAGCCUGAUCCAGCCAUGCCGCGUGAGUGAUGAAGGCCCUAGGGUUGUAAAACUCUUUCGUGGGGGUCGAUAAUGACGGUACCCAGAGAAUAAGCUCCGGCUAACUCCGUGCCAGCAGCCGCGGU
rnacentral:rRNA from 1 species